GAUUCAUCAUCAGAAGACGAAGACAGUGUGAAUGGUGGAACACUGGGAAGGAAGGAUUCAACACUUACACGUCCACCACAGACAGCACCACGGACGGCUUCACUCGGUGAGAAAUCGAAAUAAAUUCAAGUUUUCUGGGAAAAUUGAAAAUCGAAACAACAAAGUUCAGAAAAUAAACCAUAAAAUUCAAUUUUUAACCAAUUUUGUGUAUGUUGAUGAAAAAAAAACAAAUAACUUUUAUCUAAAAACUUUUAUCUAAAAAUAACUUUUAUCUAAAAAAAAAUAUACCUCUUUUAUUAUCCAGACGCGAAAUUUUGUGAUUUUUGCACCGAAAAUACGGUAUAUUACAGUAAUCUUUAAAGGCGCACAUCCUUUUGCAUUCAACAGUUUGUCGUGUCGAGACCCGGUACCGUACCUUUGCGCAAAAAUCGCACAGUUUUACGUCUGGGUAAUCUCUUCAUUCCAACAUCAUACUAGCGCACUUUUAUCGCCUUUUUCAAAUGUCAACAAGAUAUAAAAUGUAUAUCGUUGUGCUUAUCAAAUAUGCAUAUUUCUAUAUACAUCCGAAAAGAAAACCUGUUUUUCUGUAUUGCAGUGUCAAAUAAGAAUAAGAAGGAGACAUUGGCAUCGACGUCAGAUGCGGCGGCAGCACCUCCACCGCCGAUUUCAAGAAAUACUGCAGAACGACGUGCUGCUGCUGCUUCAGGUGGUGGUACAAGGAAAGAACGAGCUGUAGAGGAUAUGCUUCGACUUGUUCAAGAGAAUCGAGAUCGGCAUGAUGUGAGUUUUCGAAUUUUAAAUUUUGUGUAAAAAACAGAGUUUGUUUUUUUCUCAUUUUUUGGGAAACUAUUAUCAAAAUUCCAACUUUAAAAAACCACAGGAAUAAAUUUUUUAAAUUUUAUUUUUCAUUAGACCUACCAACUUUUAAAAAAACUUGAAAAUACGAGACGAACAGCGAAAUCGCUGGCAUCUAGAUAAAUAUUUUAACAUUUGGAUUUUAAUAAAUUUAGGAAGUAGAGUAACGUUAAUAUUUUUUCUUUCCUUUCUGAAAAAAUUUGCAAAAAAUGUUCAAAUGGCUAAUUGGAAGAGAAAACCAUUUUAAACGUUUCCCAAAAAAAAUCUUUGAAUUUUGGCGAUAAACGUUCAGAUUUUUUUUUUGCAAAAUUGAAAAAAACAUUUUAUAAAAGGAAAUAAAAACUGAUUUAGAGGAAAUUUAGGAAUUCAGAAGUGUCGCUUUUGGGAAUUCUAAAUUUUGAAAUUUUGAAAAAAAACAUUUAAAUGACUGUUGAGAUUAGGCCAGAUCCAUUUUCCAAAUGGUUUUUCUUAAAAAUUUUUUGGCUUUUUUCGAUUUUCAAUUUCAAAAACUUUAAAUUUUCCCUCGAUAAUUUCCUAUUUCAGCAACAACAGAAGGACUAUGGCGAGUAUGUUCAGGCGAGAAUCCGACCGAAGGCUCCUGGUGGAGAAGUGAUUCGUGUUGCUCGGCAAGACUAUCGAAAUAGUAAGAUUAUUGUGACAGAUGGCGAUGCGAUUCGAAUUUCUCCACACAGAGAGGUUUGUUUUUAUUUUCAAGAUCUUCUGAAAAUUCUGAACAUUUUUCUGAAAAAAAUUUCUAAUUUUCCGUCAUUUUCAGUGCAAUUUACGAAAAAAAAACUAGAAUUGUGGAAUUUUUUUUCAUGUUUUGUAGAGAAAAAUUAUUUACAAUCAAAUUGUUUUAUGGUCCGACACCUACCAGGUUCUGUCCCUUUUUUUUCAUAGUGAGGUGCGCAACCCGGAAGAUGUCGGACCAUGGUAAACGAUAGCCACUCGAUGAAAUGAACGUUUUUUCUUCGCUAGAAAAACCCGAAUUUUUUUGAAUUUUGUUGCCUUUUUUUUUUUAGAUAAAAGUUAGUGUUUCGAAGAAAGCUUCCGUCAUUUUUCACAAAAAGCCACUCUUCCUGUGCUCCAUUUAAUGACCGCUAUAAAUCUUGAUUGAGCCCAUUAAACAAUUACGAUUACACUGAAACACUAUUUAUUUCAUUUUUUCAGGAAAUUGAGACAACAAUCGAAGAAACAACAUCACUUCAUAACGGACAUGACGAUGAAGCUGUCUAUGUGAAUACGACGAUUGGUGGAGCAGCACGGCCACCAUCACCGAAUGAGGGCCAAGAUUAUCAGAAUGCUGUUUUACGUAGGUUUUUUGAAUUAUUUUUUAAAAGGACUUUAAAAAGUCCUUCCACAAAAAACAUCAGCUGUGGAAAAAAUUAACAUUCUGGAAACUUUUUUGAUGAAAAAAUCGGAUUUUUUUAUUGAGAAAAAAUAAAUUUGAAAUAUUAAAAAAAAAUUAAAUUACCAACAAAAAAAAAUCCAAAGUAAAUCUUUUUCAAGCCAAUUUUUCCCCGAGAAAUCAGCAAAAACUGAAAUAAUUUGCAUAAAAUUUUGCUGCGAAUUCAUUAAUUUAUAUAUACUCGAAUAUAGCCCAAUAAAAAUUAAAAUCUUAAACAAAAAUAUUUCGGUAAUUUUUGUCUGAAUCUGUUUUUUAAAAUGCUGAAUCUGUUUUUUAAAAUGCAUAAUUUAAAAUGCUCACAUCUAGCCGCGUUUCUACCGUAACCUACCGUACCUCAUACGUAGACUAAGAUUUUACAAUAAUGGAAAUAUAUGUUUUAUUUUAACGAAAUUACAUAUCAGAUCAGUUUCAAACUUUUCAAAAUCUUGAGCCACUCUCCCUAAACUCUUAUUUUUCAGCUCUCAAGCAAGCGAAAGUCUCUUCGAAGAUUCAAAAUGUCGUAAAUGCACUUCAG
rnacentral:sRNA from 1 species